AAUCAAACUUGAGAGUUUGAUCCUGGCUCAGAGUGAACGUUGGCGGCACGCCUAACACAUGCAAGUCGAGCGAAAANCUAAACUUCGGUUUAGUGGAAAGCGGCGGACGGGUGAGUAACGCGUGGGAAUUUACCAUAGAGUGGGGAACAACUGCUGGAAACGGCAGCUAAUACCGCAUACGCCCUCCGGGGGAAAGGCUUCGGNCGCUCUUUGAUAAGCCCGCGUACGAUUAGUUUGUUGGUGGGGUAAUGGCCUACCAAGACUACGAUCGUUAGCUGGUCUGAGAGGACGAUCAGCCACACUGGGACUGAGACACGGCCCAGACUCCUACGGGAGGCAGCAGUGGGGAAUAUUGGACAAUGG
rnacentral:rRNA from 1 species